rnacentral:lncRNA from 1 species
GAAAAUUCGGUUGCAUACCUGGUGUCCAUAUUGCCAGAAGGUAUGGACUUGGGUCAUCAGGUUCUCGUUUAUCCAGCUGUGUUUGAAGAUUAUUGGGUUAGAAUAAAGCAUAGUUUAAACCAAAUUUUAUUAAUGAAGCAACAGAAGAUAGACAACUGACCUUUUCCAACAAUUGAUGAGAAUCUGGGAGUUCGUACCUGCAAUAUAUCAGAGUAUUGACCAUUAGUUUUGUGAUCGUAACUGCUAGAGCUUUUUGGCAUGGCUUCAUAGGUAAAACCGUGAAGACUAUAUACUUUGUGGGUGUUUAUUAGCAGACCAUUUGGUGUCAUAAUUGGUGGUGUUGAGAGGUGUGGGCUAGCAAUACAAACUGGUACUGCCGCUUUAUACAUCUUCUCAUUUUCAGCACACUGCAAAUUUGUAUAAAUAUCUGCAUUGCACAUUCUU